GACGAACGCUGGCGGCGCGCUUAACACAUGCAAGUCGAACGGAAAGGCCUGCUUUCCCUUGUGGAUUGCGGGUACUCGAGUGGCGAACGGGUGAGUAACACGUGAGUGAUCUGCCCCCAACUUGGGUAUAAGCCUGGGAAACUGGGUCUAAUUCCCGAUAGGACUGCAGGGUGGUGCCUGUGGUGGAAAACGAUUUUCUAGUGGUUGGGGAUGAGCUCGCGGCCUAUCAGCUUGUUGGUGGGGUAAUGGCCUACCAAGGCGGCGACGGGUAGCCGGCCUGGGAGGGUGGACGGCCACAUUGGGACUGAGAUACGGCCCAGACUCCUACGGGAGGCAGCAGUGGGGAAUAUUGCACAAUGGGCGGAAGCCUGAUGCAGCGACGCCGCGUGGGGGAUGACGGCCUUCGGGUUGUAAACUUCUUUCGACCGCGAGGAAGCCACCUGGUUGGAAGGGUGGUGACGGUAGUGGUAGAAGAAGCACCGGCUAACUACGUG
rnacentral:rRNA from 1 species